AACGCACAUUGCGCCCCUUGGUAUUCCAUGGGGCAUGCCUGUUCGAGCGUCAUUUGUACCUUCAAGCUUUGCUUGGUGUUGGGUGUUUGUCCUGAGGGACUCGCCUUAAAGUAAUUGGCAGCCGGCCUACUGGUUUCGGAGCGCAGCACAAGUCGCACUCUCUAUCAGCAAAGGUCUAGCAUCCAUUAAGCCUUUUUUCAACUUUUGACCUCGGAUCAGGUAGGGAUACCCGCUGAACUUAA
rnacentral:misc_RNA from 1 species